CCCUUAGAUGUUCUGGGCCGCACGCGCGCUACACUGUUCGACGCAGCGAGUCUUAACCUUGACCGAAAGGUUUGGGUAAUCUUCAGCAAAGUCGAACGUGAUGGGGAUCGAUCAUUGCAAUUAUUGAUCGUGAACGAGGAAUUCCUAGUAAGUGCAAGCCAUCAGCUUGCGCUGAUUACGUCCCUGCCCUUUGUACACACCGCCCGUCGCUACUACCGAUUGAAUGGUUUAGUGAGAUCUCUGGAUUGACGCUGGCUAGGGGGCGACCCUUGGCCAGACUGCUCGAGAAACUGCUCAAACUUGAUCAUUUAGAGGAAGUAAAAGUCGUAACA
rnacentral:rRNA from 1 species